AAAUUUCACACUAUUUGGACAAUCAUUAUGCCUUUCUUCUCUUCAGGUGCCAAAUUGUGGUCUUGAUUCAGAUAUAUCCCAUUAUUUUGUCGUCACACUGUUGGGUUUUAUCUGAGUACAUGUAUGAAUUCAUUUGUACUCGAGGUUGACUUUAUUAUGUGGAUAUUAGAAAUUUUGAUGGUUUCUGAAAUUCAGGCCUUCACUUCACACGAUGCAAAUGGCAUGCCUGCAUUGUCAAUUUCGAUGGUGCAGCAAGUACAGCAGCACCAACCAAUUGCCAAGAUCAACUGCUUGCUGAUAUGGACUCAAGUAUGGAAUCCGGCAGUUCAAACCUGUUCCCACUGGCAGUGCUUCUGGGUAAGGGAAUUUUACUAGUCCAACUGGCUAUGCUAUCAACACUCCUGCUGUAAUUGGCAGUGCAACAGGUCUGGACGAUUCAUCUCGGAUAAAGUACAAGGAUAGUAAUCUUUAUGUUCCUAACAGUUGUACAAGAACUCAGUAGAUUAGUAUGAAAGUGACUUAACAAUGGUGGUGCAUUCCCUUAUUCUUUCAAUGACCGAAUCUUGCCGUAUUGGCAAGCCCGAAACUUGUAAUGCGAGCUGCAUCAGAUCUUAUUUAGUGAAGCUCCUCCAGUCUUGCGGUUAUAAUGCAGAUUUGUGUGCAACCAAGUGGCAGGGUUGUGGAAAGCUUCCUGGAGGUGAACACGAGUACAUUGAGGUGAUCUCCCAUGGAAGUGAUGGAUGCUCCGAAAGGUAUAUCAUUGAUCUUGACUUCCGGAGCCACUUUGAAAUUGCAAGAGCUGUCAAAUCCUACAUGGCGAUGUACAGUAACAAAACUUAAGCUGUAUCUUCAGGCUAUGGUAGAAGCAGCGAAAUGUUCACUCAAACAGAAUUCAAUGCCUCUUCCUCCAUGGCGAUCCCUUGCCAAUUUAGAAGCCAAGUGGGAAUCAUCCAGUCAAAGAGUAGUCAAUGUUCAGGUCCAGAGCAGCGUAAGCCCCUCUAAUUCCUGUCAUCGGCAUUGUACUAAACUGUUGUGGAGGAUAAAAUCCCGUAUUGGAUCUGAAAUCAACGCCAAAGGAUUCUUGGUACACAAGAACUAUAGAAAGAGGCAGGGGCUAAAGAUCCAAUCGUGUCAUGCUUCCCCAGUGACUCCAUGAUCUUGCAUUGAACAGAAAACACAAUUUUGUUCGACAUCAAGUUUUUGAAGGUUUUUGUUUCUCUUUAUUUCCGCUUCCUCUUUUCGCAUUCAACAUAUUACAGAAGCUUCAAGAUGAGGUUAAAAUACAACGGAUUUAGUUUAUUUGUAUCACAAUAACACGAUUCUGGGAGAAUCUUGUUCACGUGCUAUCACAAUCAAGAUUCUGCAGUUUUGGUUAUCUACACUAGAGAGUUGCAUCUUGUUUUGUUUUAGCAUCUUGCUACCAUAAUAUAUAAUAUAUCAAAUUCUUCCACUGAACUGGGCUCCCAAUUUUGUGCCGCCUUGGUCUAAUGAUCAGAUUCAAUUCAAUUCAAUUUGAUUUGAAUUUUAUUUUUUGAUUCAA